GACGAACGCUGGCGGCGUGCUUAACACAUGCAAGUCGAGCGAGGCCCCUCCUUCGGGAGGGUGUCCUAGCGGCGAACGGGUGAGCAACACGUGGGCAACCUGCCCUCAGCUCUGGGAUAACUCCGGGAAACCGGGGCUAAUACCGGAUACGACCUCCACGGGCAUCUGCGGAGGUGGAAAGUUUUUCGGCUGAGGAUGGGCCCGCGGCCUAUCAGCUAGUUGGUGGGGUAGUGGCCCACCAAGGCGACGACGGGUAGCCGGCCUGAGAGGGCGACCGGCCACACUGGGACUGAGACACGGCCCAGACUCCUACGGGAGGCAGCAGUGGGGAAUAUUGCGCAAUGGGCGAAAGCCUGACGCAGCGACGCCGCGUGAGGGACGAAGGCCUUCGGGUUGUAAACCUCUUUCAGCAGGGACGAAGCGAAAGUGACGGUACCUGCAGAAGAAGCACCGGCCAACUACGUG
rnacentral:rRNA from 1 species